CUGCCGGCCGUGCCUCGCCUCCGCCGCGGCUGCUGCGCGGAGCUUUUCCCUCCUCUCCCACCUCCCCUCAAAGCUGUGCCCUCCUACCCCGGGGCGCCGGCUGGGCGGCCUCACGGGUCCUCCUACCCCGGGGAGCUGCGCCUCGGGACGCGUUCGGAGUCGGAAGCGCCGAGGGGAUGCGGCCGCGGAGGCUCAUCUUCCCGGGGAGCGGCGGGAGAGGGUUCCGGCAGGGCAGCUCCCAGGGCCGGCAGCGGGCGAGGCUCACAUCUCGCCGUGUUGGUGGGAGUUCACCAGGCAAACGACAUUGCAGCUUUUUUAUUUUUUCUUCCUUUCCCUUCAGUACUUUCCGCGUGUUCUGUCCUGAGCUGUAACCACUCUCUCUCUUUUUAAAGCAUGAGUGUUAUCUUCUGUAGCAAGGUGUUUUCUUCUGCUGUAGUUAAUCACCGCGUCGUUCCCCUCCCACUGAGCUGCUCCGCGGAGCACUGAGGCGAUCGUUGGCGCGUGGCGUGAGCUGCCCUCAGAGUAUCGGAGGGACAGACUGCUGGCUGGGUCCUUGCUGCACCACAGUUUUUGCCUCUGGCUGGGAACAGUAAUAUACCAUUAACCCGAGAGAUGUGAAACAUGCUGUGCAGUGCUUGGAAGGGUGUCAGAAGCUCCUCCUGUAAGGGGUAUAAAAAUGUUUACUUAAGGUGC
ensembl:lncRNA